UCGCGGGAUCCCAGCAAUGGGGGAACCGGCGUAAGGGGCAGUAAUGCGUGGGUACCUACCCCGGGGUCCGGGAUAGCCGUCCGAGAGGGCGGGUAAUACUGGAUGAUCUCGGGAGAGCAAAGCUCCGGCGCCCUGGGAGGGGCCCACGUGAUAUUAGCUAGUUGGUGAGGUGACGGCUCACCAAGGCGGAGAUGUCUAGCGGGUGUGAGAGCACGACCCGCGCCACUCGCACUGAGACACUGGCGAGACACCUACGGGUGGCUGCAGUCGAGGAUCUUCGGCAAUGUGCGCAAGCACGACCGAGCGACGCCGCGUGGGCGAUGAAGGCCUUCGGGUUGUAAAGCCCUGUCGAGGGGGAGAAAAGCGGGAAACCGUGUGAUCUAUCCCUGGAGGAAGCUCGGGCUAAGUUCGUGCCAGCAGCCGCGGUAAGACGAACCGAGCGAACGUUGUUCGGAAUCACUGGGCUUAAAGGGUGCGUAGGCGGGCUGCCAAGUUUGGGGUGAAAUCCUCCGGCUCAACCGGGGAAGUGCCUUGAAUACUGGCGGUCUCGAGGGGGGUAGGGGCGUGCGGAACUAACGGUGGAGCGGUGAAAUGCGUUGAUAUCGUUAGGAACUCCGGUGGCGAAGGCGGCACGCUGGACCUCAUCUGACGCUGAGGCACGAAAGCCAGGGGAGCGAACGGGAUUAGAUACCCCGGUAGUCCUGGCCCUAAACGUUGAGAACUAGGUAGUAGGCCGGACAUGGGCUUACUGCCGGAGCAAA
rnacentral:rRNA from 1 species